ensembl:lncRNA
GCUGGGUGUGUGCUACACCUGACCAUUGAUCCUGGCCCAAACUGCCAUUUGCAGGUGCCUGGAGGACCGCAGUACAAAGAACGUGUGGGGAUUUAGGGAAAUUACAGCCCUCUCUUGAGAACAGAAUUGGCAAAGAAUGUUUCAAGUGCCCAUUCAGAAAUGACACGUAAGUGCGAGUUGGGUCGGAGAUCACCACAACAUACUUCUUCCCAAAGCCCUUUGUAGCACUGGAUUCACUCUGAUCCCUCGGCUCGUCUCAUCUUUCAGUCAGACUGACGUAUGAAGAGCAGCGAUAGGCUUUCAUAAGAAGCUGCAAUAUAUCUUACAAGCAGUCAGUUCUGAGUUAAAUUCUGCAGGAUGCUUUGCUAUCGUUCUCCAGUUUGCAUCCCCACAGUGUGAGGACUUCAAUAACAAUUUCUAUUCAUGAUGUCAAUUCUGUAUCUUUUGCAGGUUUGAUCAGCAGCUUGCAGUUACUUAUCUGUGGGGAAGGGGAAGGGGCUCCAAAGAGGGAAAGUAAUUGCACUUGAAAAUCAGAACUCUGCAGUCAAACAGGCUUUGAGUCUUGCUGAUAAGGUUGGUUUGUCUGUCCUCUGCCACCUCUGAUUGCAGCUACUGAAUGAUGUGAAAGACUUCUGGAAAGCAGACUGAGAAUCUAUGUCCCUAAUGAAGCAGCAGGAUUCAAGAGGCAGUGUAUUUCUGAAGGAUUAUCAGAGGCCUUGGGCAUGCAAUGGGAUAUGCGGCUGGAGGCCAAGUGCUUUCACCCCCACUAGUGCCAUAAUCCAUACAAAAUGUGCUGUCCUACCUCCCCAGUUGUACUUUGCUGAGAAAGUCAGUAGGAAAUCUAAGAGAAAGUUGUGUAGGACUUAUUGACAGCUAGUCUGAAAGGCUGAAUUGUUUCCAAAUUUUCUUAUACAUGACCCAAAAGAUCAGCCCUAUCUGAAAGUAUUUUUAAGCCAGAUAAAACCUGUGGGGGUUAACAGCUCUCCAUAGUAAGACAUCAACAGUAUGGUCCAUAAAUCACGUUCACUGGUGGGAUCCUUGCUGAUGUGUGUCUGAGCUGACUUACAGGUUUGGAACGUGGGUGUUGUGGUUGUUUAAGG